CCAAUCUCUAAGAUCAUCAACCCUGUCGCUGUACGACUGAGAUUACCCAACUCCAUGAGCAUUCACCCCACGUUCCACGUUUCUCAGGUCAAGCCCUUCGUGGAGCCCCGUCUAAAAGUUUAUUUCCUUUUCAAGAUAACUCUGAUGAUAACAGUGCAGAUAGUAGAAUAAAAGUAGUCUAUUGGUUGAAUUACUCACUAUUUGUUGACAGAUCAAACUGAUAAACAGGACCUGAAGCUGCAGUAUUUUGUUUUUUAUCUCCCCAGAAAAAAAAACAAGGCUUGUCAGAUUUUUUUCUUGUACCGAUUGAAGUCACCAUGAGCAUCCAGCUGUCACACCCACAGUGGUUGUGUGCAGGUUUCUGUGUUUGUGCCGUGUUUCUCUCCUCCUACAGGGUGUGACUGGCAGAUGCAGCUGCACAGGUGAUUCUCCUUGGGCCUAAUUACCAGGGCUUCUUAAUGAGCUGGAACCAGGGGGGAGGUGUCAACCCGUUGUUUCUACCAGUGUGUUCUGCUCAUUCUGGUGACCAUGUCCUGAUUCCCCAAUCCUAGUCUCUGUCAUGCUCUGGAGAGUUAUUGGAACGACUCCUUGCCAGCCGUGAGUCUCACUUCCUUUCCUACCUCCAGUCCUGCGUCUCUGAGAUCACCUUGUGGAAACACCAGACCUUUGCUCACCUGCCUGUCCACCCUCCGACGCCGUGUGCUCUGCUAAAGCACAUCAGCUCUGGAAUCGCAAGGAGAGAACACCAGCCCCAUGAACCACCAAGCUACUCUUCCUGCCAAACCCAGCUGCUGUAGGAAAGACUUGCCUCCUCCAACAAACUAUCAUCCACUGCCAACAUUAAUCUGACUUUCCUCCUGUCCCACAUAAAUCUCCAUAACUUCCAGUGAACAAUCAAUAACCACUCUUCUGUCCUCCUCAGUGCCAGUCUAGAUCCCUCCAGCCGAUCCAGUCCGUAUUCAACCUUAUUUGUUGUAUUACAAAUAAAUUGUUCAAACUGCUA